rnacentral:tRNA from 1 species
GGCUCCGUGGCUUAAUGGUUACGGCUUCUGCCUCACAAGCAGAAGGUUCAGGGAUUAAAUCCCGGUCGGUACCU